CCUACGGGAGGCAGCAGUGGGGGAUCUUGCACAAUGGGGGAAACCCUGAUGCAGCGACGCCGCGUGGGCGAAGAAGUAUUUCGGUAUGUAAAGCCCUAUCAGCAGGGAAGAAGAAAUGACGGUACCUGAGUAAGAAGCACCGGCUAACUACGUGCCAGCAGCCGCGGUAAUACGUAUGGUGCAAGCGUUAUCCGUAUUUACUGGGUGUAAAGGGAGCGCAGGCGGCACGGCAAGCCUGAUGUGCAAGCCAGCGGCGCAACCGCGGGACUGCAGUGGGAACUACCGGGCUGGAGUGCCGGAGAGGUAGGCGGAAUUCCUAGUGUAGCGGUGAAAUGCGUAGAUAUUAGGAGGAACACCAGUGGCGAAGGCGGGCUACUGGACGGUGACUGACGCUGAGGCUCGAAAGCGUGGGGAGCAAACAGGAUUAGAUACCCCGGUAGUC
rnacentral:rRNA from 1 species